AUUGAACGCUGGCGGCAGGCUUAAUACAUGCACGUCGAGGGUAGCGGCAGACGGGUGAGGAAGGCGUGGGAACGUACCUUUGGGUUCGGAAAAAUACAGGGAAACUUGUGCUAAUACCGGAUACCGAAAGAUCGGCCCGCGUCUGAUUAGCUAGUUAGUAGGGUAAUGGCCUACCAAGGCGAAGAUCAGUAGCUGGUCUGAGAGGAUGAUCAGCCACAUUUGGACUGAGACACGGCACAGACUCCUACGGGAGGCAUCAGUGGGGAAUAUUGGACAAUGGCGGCAACCCUGAUCCAGCCAGGCCGCGUGAGUGAUGAAGGCCCUAGGGUUGUAAAGCUCUUUUGUGCGGGAAGCGGUACCGAAAGAAUAAGCCCCGGCUAACUUCGUGCCAGCAGCCGCGGUAAUAC
rnacentral:rRNA from 1 species